CCUACGGGAGGCUGCAGUGAGGAAUAUUGGUCAAUGGACGAGAGUCUGAACCAGCCAAGUAGCGUGAAGGAUGACUGCCCUAUGGGUUGUAAACUUCUUUUAUAAAGGAAUAAAACGAGGCACGUGUGCCUUUUUGCAUGUACUUUAUGAAUAAGGAUCGGCUAACUCCGUGCCAGCAGCCGCGGUAAUACGGAGGAUCCGAGCGUUAUCCGGAUUUAUUGGGUUUAAAGGGAGCGUAGAUGGGUUGUUAAGUCAGUUGUGAAAGUUUGCGGCUCAACCGUAAAAUUGCAAUUGAUACUGGCAGUCUUGAGUACAGUUGAGGUAGGCGGAAUUCGUGGUGUAGCGGUGAAAUGCUUAGAUAUCACGAAGAACCCCGAUUGCGAAGGCAGUUUACUAAACUGUGACUGACAUUGAUGCUCGAAAGUGUGGGGAGCAAACAGGAUUAGAUACCCCAGUAGUC
rnacentral:rRNA from 1 species